rnacentral:rRNA from 1 species
GACGAACGCUGGCGGCGUGCUUAACACAUGCAAGUCGAACGGAAAGGCCCUGCUUUUGUGGGGUGCUCGAGUGGCGAACGGGUGAGUAACACGUGAGUAACCUGCCCUUGACUUUGGGAUAACUUCAGGAAACUGGGGCUAAUACCGGAUAGGAGCUCCUGCUGCAUGGUGGGGGUUGGAAAGUUUCGGCGGUUGGGGAUGGACUCGCGGCUUAUCAGCUUGUUGGUGGGGUAGUGGCUUACCAAGGCUUUGACGGGUAGCCGGCCUGCGAGGGUGACCGGCCACAUUGGGACUGGGAUACGGCCCAGACUCCUACGGGAGGCAGCAGUGGGGAAUAUUGCACAAUGGGCGGAAGCAUGAUGCAGCAACGCCGCGUGCGGGAUGACGGCCUUCGGGUUGUAAACCGCUUUCGCCUGUGACGAAGCGUGAGUGACGGUAAUGGGUAAAGAAGCACCGGCUAACUACGUG